UGACAGGACUCUACACACUGACAGGACUCUACACUCUGACACUGACAGGACUCUACACACUGACAGGACUCUACACACUGACAGGACUCUACACACUGACACUGACAGGACUCUACACACUGACAGGACUCUACACACUGACACUGACAGGACUCUACACACUGACACUGACAGGACCCUACACACUGACAGGACUCUACACACUGACAAGACUCUACACACUGACACUGACAGGACUCUACACACUGACACUGACAGGACUCUACACACUGACAGGACUCUACACACUGACAGGACUCUACACACUGACACUGACAGGACUCUACACUCUGACACUGACAGGACUCUACACACUGACAGGACUCUACACACUGACACUGACAGGACUCUACACACUGACACUGACAGGACUCUACACACUGACAUGACUCUACACACUGACAUGACUCUACACACUGACACUGACAGGACCCUACACGCUGACACUGACAGGACUCUACACACUGACAGGACUCUACACACUGACAGGACUCUACACUCUGACAGGACUCUACACACUGACAGGACCCUACACUCUGACAGGACUCUACACUCUGACAGGACUCUACACUCUGACAGGACUCUACACACUGACAGGACUCUACACACUGACAGGACUCUACACACUGACACUGACAGGACUCUACACAAUGACAGGACUCUACACAGUGACAGGACCCUACACACUGACAGGACUCUACACACUGACAGGACUCUACACUCUGACAGGACUCUACACACUGACAGGACUCUACACUCUGACAGGACUCUACACACUGACAGGACUCUACACACUGACAGGACUCUACACACUAACAGGACUCUACACUCUGACAGGACUCUACACACUGACAGGACUCUACACACUGACAGGACCCUACACACUGACAGGACUCUACACACUGACAGGACUCUACACACUGACAGGACUCUACACACUGACAGGACUCUACACACUGACAGGACUCUACACUCUGACAGGACUCUACACACUAACAGGACUCUACACUCUGACAGGACCCUACACACUGACAGGACUCUACACACUGACAUGACUCAACACACUGACAGGACUCUACACACUGACAGGACUCUACACACUGACAGGACCCUACACACUGACAGGACUCUACACACUGACAGGACUCUACACACUGACAGGACUCUACACACUGACAGGACUCUACACACUAACAGGACUCUACACUCUGACAGGACCCUACACACUGACAGGACUCUACACACUGACAUGACUCAACACACUGACAGGACUCUACACACUGACAGGACUCUACACACUGACAGGACCCUACACACUGACAGGACUCUACACACUGACAGGACUCUACACACUGACAGGACUCUACACACUGACACUGACAGGACUCUACACUCUGACACUGACAGGACUCUACACACUGACAGGACUCUACACACUGACACUGACAGGACUCUACACACUGACACUGACAGGACUCUACACACUGACAGGACUCUACACACUGACAGGACUCUACACACUGACACUGACAGGACCCUACACACUGACAGGACUCUACACAUUGACACUGACAGGACUCUACACACUGACACUGACAGGACCCUACACACUGACACUGACAGGACUCUACACACUGACAGGACUCUACACACUGACAGGACUCUACACACUGACAGGACUCUACACACUGACAGGACUCUACACUCUGACAGGACUCUACACACUGACAGGACUCUACACACUGACAGGACUCUACACACUGACAGGACUCUACACACGGACUCUACACACUGACAGGACUCUACACACUGACAGGACCCUACGCUUCCAUAUAUCUGAACAGAGAGAGAGAGAGCGAGAGAGAGAGAGAGAGAGAGAGAGAGAGACUGCUUCCAUAUACUUGAACACAGAGAGAGAGACUGCUUCCAUGUUGAUUUGUGUGUGAGAAGGACCUGCCACUUGGACUUGUGUGACCUGGACAAUAAUAAUCAACUUAGAGGAGACACAACUCAGGAGCAGGGCUCUAUUGUACCUCCAUCAGGUCCUAAUGGCCUGGUACUCCAAUCAAGUUGUAGAAACAUCUCAAGGAUGAUCAAUGGGAAAGAGGAUACACCUGAGCUCAAUUUAGAGUCUCAUAGCAAAGGGUCUGAAUACUUAUGUAAAUAAGGUAAUUCUGUUUUUGUUUUUUUAUACAUUUUCAAAAAUUGACAGAAACUGCUUUCGCUUUGUAAUUAUGGAGUAUUGUUUGUAGAUUGCUGAGGAUUUUUUAUUUAUUUAAUCAAUUUUAGACUGAGGCUGUACUGUAACAAAAUGUGGAAAAAGUCAAGGGGGUCUGAAUACUUUCUGAAGUCAAUGUGUAUAUAAUUUAAAAUAAAAAAAUAGAUAUACAAAAAAACGACAUAUGUUGAAUGAAUGUGGUAUUAAUCAGAACUUGCAGUUUGAAAGUACAGUUGAACAUAAAGUAUUAAGUAUUACAACAAAGACUGUAGUUCAAACAUUUGUCCACCAGAGAGCAGACUUUCUUUCUCUUAAUCUCAAUAAACAAUUUACCGGUUGAAAGUAAACAAAAAUGUAUAAAAAUAUACAUGAACACAAUGUUUUACAAAUAUGCAAAUUAAGUUAUAUCUCAUUAAAUAUGCACAAUAUUUGCAUAUCACCGAAAUCCAAUUUUCUGGACACUGGAUAAAGUCGGCCUAAAUAUUUUUGUGUCAUUUUGCUAAGACACUCCAGGACCGGACUUCUGCAGAGCUGAUUGUGGAUUAAUAUUUUUAUUUUUUUAUUUCUACUUGUAAAAUACUAAAGACCAAUGAAUUUUUGGUGCAUUUUUCCCCCCAAAAAAUGUUAUCAAGAAUAAAAAAAAUGUACAGCAUAUCAACAAUUCCCUCUUGGGAGUGUACAAAACAUUAUGAACACCUGCUCUUUCCGUGACAGACUGACCAGGUGAGUCCAGGUGAAAACUAUGAUCCCUUAUUGAUGUCACUUGUUAAAUCCACUUCAAAAUCAGUGUAGAUUAGGGUAUUUAUUAUGGAUCCCCAGGACUCUUUCUGGGGUCUGGCAAAAUUAAGGCAGUUAUACCAAUUUAAAAACAUUACAAUACAUUCAUUACAGAAUUCACAACACACUAUGUGUGUGCCCUCAGGCCCAUACUCCAUUACCACAUAUCUACAACACAAAAUCCAUCUGUACGUGUGUGUAUAGUGAGUAUGUUAUUAUGUGUGUGUAGGCAUGUGUCUAUGCUUAUGUCUGUCUUGCCUCAGUCCCCACUGUUCCAUAAGGUGUAUUUAAAAAAAUGGUUUAAAAAAAAUCUGAUUCUACUGCUUGCAUCAGUUACCUGAUGUGGAUUCUCUCUCUCUCUCUCUCUAUCUCUCUCUCUCUCUCAGUAAAUAGUAGUAAUGACUUUCACUUAAAAACACACACAUUCUUACUAUCUUUUGCUUUCAAUUGACAUCUGAAUAGUAAUGACUGAUACAUUAACUGUUCUCUAACUGGUUCUAAAAUUAAUAGUAAUGACUGAACUCAAAUGUUCUUUCUAUGCUUUGACUUCACUCUCUCUCUCUCUCUGACUCUCUCGCUCUCUCUCUCUCUCUCUCUCUCUACCCAAACUCUGUCUUUCUUUCACUGUCUCCCUGAACUCUCUCUGUCUCUUUGUCCCUCCCUGGGUGAAUUCUAACGGUCUGAUCCCUCAGCCUGUCUGGACUCGUUCUGAAUAACAGUCAAAGCAAGGAGGGACAGAGAGGGUGUGUGAGAGGGAUAGAUGCCGUACUGCUACCUGGCCGCUAGAGCAGGAACUCCCCCACAGGCUCAGGAGAGGCAAAGGUCAAGUCAAUCGUCCUCUGCAACAUGACCUGCCAAACCUCGCUUCUUAACACCCACCACAGGCUCAGGAGAGGCAAAGGUCAAGUCAAUCGUCCUCUGCAACAUGACCUGCCAAACCUUGCUUCUUAACACCCACCACAGGCUCAGGAGAGGCAAAGGUCAAGUCAAUCGUCCUCUGCAACAUGACCUGCCAAACCUCUCUUCUUAACACCCCCCACAGGCUCAGGAGAGGCAAAGGUCAAGUCAAUCGUCCUCUGCAACAUGACCUGCCAAACCUCGCUUCUUAACACCCACCUGCUUAAUCAACAUGUCAGAGGAAACACUGUUCAACUGACAACCGAGGUCAGCCUGCAGGAGCCCAGCUCUCUACAAGGAGUCGCUAGAGUGCAAUGAGCCAAGUCAAGCACCAAACCCUAACGACGCUCGGCCAAUCGUACGACGCUGGGCCAAUCGUACGACGCUGGGCCAAUCGUACGCCGCCCACCCAUUGGGCUCUAGCGACUCCUUGUAGAGAGCUGGGCUCCUGCAGGCUGACCUCGGUUGUCAGUUGAACAGUGUUUCCUCUGAAAAAAAGUUAUCUUGCAAAUUCAGAAGGUGAAAUAGACUUUUAGAAGUUUCUUUGGUUAAUGCACGAGUACCAUUUUUAUUUUAGUACUUUGGUUAAUGCACGAGUACCUUUUUUCAAACUCCUAUCAUAACAUAAUUGUAUUAAGUCAAACAUAUUACUGUGCUUGAAGUUUAAAAUGCAUUUGUCAUUUCUAAAUGUGUAAUGUGAUAGGCAUUUUUUUCCCCCACAUUUUUAAACACACAAAAAGACUGGAUUAAUAAAAUAAUUCAAUCAGU